CAAAAACUGGGGUGAUCUCAGGUAAAGGUAAUAAGUAUAUCCCACCAAAAACUGGGGUGAUCUCAGGUAAAGGUAAUACGUAUAUCCCACUAAAAACUGGGGUGAUCUCUGGUAAAGGUAAUAAGUAUAUCCCACCAAAAACUGGGGUGAUCUCAGGUAAAGGUAAUACGUAUAUCCCACUAAAAACUGGGGUGAUCUCAGGUAAAGGUAAUAAGUAUAUCCCACCAAAAACUGGGGUGAUCUCAGAUAAAGGUAAUAAGUAUAUCCCACCAAAAACUGGGGUGAUCUCAGGUAAAGGUAAUAAGUAUAACCCACCAAAAACUGGGGUGAUCUCUGGUAAAGGUAAUAUGUAUAUCCCACUAAAAACUGGGGUGAUCUCAGGUAAAGGUAAUAAGUAUAUCCCACCAAAAACUGGGGUGAUCUCA